rnacentral:tRNA from 1 species
UCCCUGGUAGUCAAGUGGUUAAGACUUGGCAGUUCUGCUGCAGAGGGCCCAGGUUUGAUACCUGGUUGGGAAA